GAUGAACGCUAGCUACAGGCUUAACACAUGCAAGUCGAGGGGAAACGAUAUUGGAAGCUUGCUUCCGAUAGGCGUCGACCGGCGCACGGGUGAGUAACGCGUAUCCAACCUGCCCAUCACUUGGGAAUAACCUUGCGAAAGUAAGACUAAUGCCCAAUGACAUUUAUAGAAGGCAUCUGAAAUGAAUUAAAGAUUUAUCGGUGAUGGAUGGGGAUGCGUCUGAUUAGCUUGUUGGCGGGGUAACGGCCCACCAAGGCGACGAUCAGUAGGGGUUCUGAGAGGAAGGUCCCCCACAUUGGAACUGAGACACGGUCCAAACUCCUACGGGAGGCAGCAGUGAGGAAUAUUGGUCAAUGGGCGAGAGCCUGAACCAGCCAAGUAGCGUGCAGGAAGACGGCCCUAUGGGUUGUAAACUGCUUUUANAAGGGAAUAAAGUGAGUCUCGUGAGACUUUUUGCAUGUACCUUAUGAAUAAGGACCGGCUAAUUCCGUGCCAGCAGCCG
rnacentral:rRNA from 1 species